rnacentral:misc_RNA from 1 species
UCAAACUUGGUCAUUUAGAGGAAGUACAAGUCGUAACAAGGUAUCCGUAGGUGAACCUGCGGAUGGAUCAUUACCAAAGGACACUCAAAAUGUCUUGUGAACUCUUUCGACUUAAAACGGUCUGGGUCAACAUUGCUUGGUCCAGGCUGGUACACAUCAAACCUUUCAACACUUUAAACUUACAUCCUUGAGAACAAAACCUAAAAUAACUUUUAGCAAUGGAUCUCUUGGCUCUCGCAUCGAUGAAGAACGCAGC